GAUGAACGCUGGCGGCGUGCUUAACACAUGCAAGUCGAACGAUGAAUCCCAGCUUGCUGGGUGGAUUAUGGCGAACGGGUGAGUAACACGUGAGUAACCUGCCCUUGACUCUGGGAUAAGCCCGGGAAACUGGGUCUAAUACCGGAUAGGAGCGCCUGUCGCAUGACGGGUGCUGGAAAGAUUUUUCGGUCAUGGAUGGACUCGCGGCCUAUCAGCUUGUUGGUGAGGUAAUGGCUCACCAAGGCGACGACGGGUAGCCGGCCUGAGAGGGUGACCGGCCACACUGGGACUGAGACACGGCCCAGACUCCUACGGGAGGCAGCAGUGGGGAAUAUUGCACAAUGGGCGGAAGCCUGAUGCAGCGACGCCGCGUGAGGGAUGACGGCCUUCGGGU
rnacentral:rRNA from 1 species